rnacentral:rRNA from 1 species
GUCUACAGCCAUUCCACCCUGACUGUGCCAUUUCUUGGAAGCAAAGGAGGGUCAGGCCUGGUUAGUACUUGGAUGGGUGUCCACCUGGGAAUACUGGUUGUGGGAAGCU